rfam:Conexibacter woesei DSM 14684, complete genome.
GGGCGGUUAGCUCAGUUGGUAGAGCACUCGCCUUACAAGCGAGAGGUCGCCGGUUCAAGCCCGGCACCGCCCA